rnacentral:rRNA from 1 species
AUUGAACGCUGGCGGCAGGCCUAACACAUGCAAGUCGAGCGGAUGAAGGGAGCUUGCUCCUGGAUUCAGCGGCGGACGGGUGAGUAAUGCCUAGGAAUCUGCCUGGUAGUGGGGGAUAACGUCCGGAAACGGGCGCUAAUACCGCAUACUUCCUGAGGGAGAAAGUGGGGGAUCUUCGGACCUCACGCUAUCAGAUGAGCCUAGGUCGGAUUAGCUAGUUGGUGGGGUAAAGGCCUACCAAGGCGACGAUCCGUAACUGGUCUGAGAGGAUGAUCAGUCACACUGGAACUGAGACACGGUCAAGACUACUACGGGAGGCAGCAGUGGGGAAUAUUGGACAAUGGGCGAAAGCCUGAUCCAGCCAUGCCGAGUGUGUGAAGAAGGUCUUCGGAUUGUAAAGCACUUUAAGUUGGGAGGAAGGGCAGUAAGUUAAUACCUUGCUGUUUUGACGUUACCAACAGAAUAAGCACCGGCUAACUUCGUG